CCCUAGAAAUUUCAAAGCUGGCAGAAGGUGUGUUACUACUGUUGCUAUGCGGCAGUUCCAUUGCACCCCACGAUACCAGGCGUUUAUUCUCGUGCGUGGGGCAUUCCAAUGAAAGCCGCUCAAUGCGUGGAGUCUCAACAGAAUGGAAUUGCUGCGUUGUUUCAACAGAACCAAAACUUUCUCCAACUGAACUAUGGAAUCUGGUGUCUCCAACGGAGAGAUCUUUGUCACCCUUCUCCAAACAAUCUAAACCAAAAAGAUUGCCUUGAGGAUCAUUAAUAAUCGAAGAACUGAAAGAAUCAUUGGAGCAGAGACAACCCAAGG
rnacentral:misc_RNA from 1 species